rnacentral:rRNA from 1 species
GAUGAACGCUAGCGGCAGGCUUAAUACAUGCAAGUCGUGGGGCAGCAUGGGGUAGCAAUACUCUGAUGGCGACCGGCAAACGGGUGCGGAACACGUACGCAACCUUCCCAAAACCCUGGUGAAUAGCCCUCCGAAAGGAGGAUUAAUACACCGUAACAUAACGAAGUGGCAUCACUUUGUUAUUAUAGCUCCGGCGGUUUUGGAUGGGCGUGCGCCUGAUUAGGUAGUUGGCGGGGUAACGGCCCACCAAGCCUACGAUCAGUAACUAGUGUGAGAGCACGACCAGUCACACGGGCACUGAGACACGGGCCCGACUCCUACGGGAGGCAGCAGUAAGGAAUAUUGGUCAAUGGACGCAAGUCUGAACCAGCCAUGCCGCGUGAAGGAUGAAGGUCCUCUGGGAUUGUAAACUUCUUUUAUCUGGGCGAAAAAAAGGGCUUUCUAGCUCACCUUGACGGGUACCCUAGAAGGAAUAAAGCACCGGCUAACUCCGUGCCAGCAGCCGCGG